rnacentral:pre_miRNA from 1 species
UAUAAGAGAUUUUGAGUUGUUGCUUGCAACGUUUGACCACUCGUCUUAUUCAAAAUUUUUUAAGAUUAUUAUUUAUUUUAUUUGUGACUUACUUUAUUAUUUACAGUAUUUUAAGCACAACUUUUUAUUUUUUAUAUUUGCAAAAAAAAUUGAAUAAGACGAGUGGUCAAACGUUGCAAACAGAAACUCAAAAUACUCAAA